rnacentral:lncRNA from 1 species
UUCAGAAGGCAGAGCAGAGUCCCAGCUGGGACAGAUGUCUCAAGGCACAAAAUACGUCCUUUUCUCUGGAGAUCUACUUAUAGGUGAAGUGUCACUGUUUGGUGCUCUCUGGACAGAUUGUUAUCAGGGAACGUUUCUGCUGUAGAAGACUUCUAUUGUUGCAGACAACCAGCAGGUAAAACCAACUGGCAGAAAAUGG